AUGCCAUCCUGAGGAAGACCAGGAAACAUUCCGGAGCCACGUGAGCCACAGCGGUCAGGGUCCCAUAUGUAAGCACCACGAGCACCCAGAUGAUGCUGGAGGCACGAAUCACCACAGGAUCAACUUUGACAAAUAUCAUCAUCCAGGGUACUUUGGGAAAGUUGGUGUGAGGCAUGACCACUUCAAGAAGUUUCAUAGCUUCUGCCCAAUCGCCAACCUGGAUAAAUUGUGGGUGCUGGUCAGUGAGCAGACAUGGGUCAAUGCUACAAAACAAACAAACAAACAAGACAGCAGCUGCUCCCGUAUGUGGUGUCCAAUCAAUCCGGCAACUUGUUCUAGGAAAGGGAAAGCUCCCUAGGCAGCUGUCAUCAUGAAGGCCAAAUUCCUCGGCAGAAGAGCUGAAGAGAAGAUAAAGGAUGUUGGAGGUACCUGUGCUCUGGUGGCUUGA
rnacentral:lncRNA from 1 species